rnacentral:tRNA from 1 species
ACCCGUAGCUCAGCUGGAUAGAGUAGGUGGCUUCGAACCACUUGGUCGGGAGUUCGAUAAAACGCGCAGCGUUUUAGACGGCUGAAAGCCGCCCCGAAGGGGUG